rnacentral:rRNA from 1 species
AGUGAACGCUGGCGGUAGGCCUAACACAUGCAAGUCGAACGGCAGCACAGUAAGAGCUUGCUCUUACGGGUGGCGAGUGGCGGACGGGUGAGGAAUACAUCGGAAUCUACUUUUUCGUGGGGGAUAACGUAGGGAAACUUACGCUAAUACCGCAUACGACCUACGGGUGAAAGCAGGGGAUCUUCGGACCUUGCGCGAUUGAAUGAGCCGAUGUCGGAUUAGUUAGUUGGCGGGGUAAAGGCCCACCAAGGCGACGAUCCGCAGCUGGUCUGAGAGGAUGAUCAGCCACACGGGAACGGGAACACAGAACAGACUCCUAAGAUAGGCAGCAGUGGGGAAUAUUAGACAGUGGGGGCGAACCUGGUCCAGCAAUACGGCGUUGGUGACAAAGACCUUCCGGUUGUAAAGCCCUUUUGUUGGGAAAAAAAAGCUGCAGGUUAAUACCCGGCUGUUCUGACGGUACCGGAAGAAUAAGCACCGGCUAACUUCGUG